UUCCGGUUGAUCCUGCCGGAGGUUACUGCUAUCGAGGUUCGACUAAGCCAUGCGAGUCGAAUGUAGCAAUACAUGGCGAACUGCUCAGUAACACGUGGACAACCUGCCCUUAGGACGGGGAUAAACCCGGGAAACUGGGUAUAAUACCCGAUAGGUCUCGAUUGCUGGAAUGCAUCGAGAUUUAAAGCUCCGGCGCCUAAGGAUGGGUCUGCGGCCUAUCAGGUAGUAGUGGGUGUAGCGUACCUACUAGCCUACGACGGGUACGGGUUGUGAGAGCAAGAGCCCGGAGAUGGAUUCUGAGACACGAAUCCAGGCCCUACGGGGUGCAGCAGGCGCGAAAACUUUACAAUGCUGGCAACAGCGAUAAGGGAACCUCGAGUGCCAGGUUACAAAUCUGGCUGUCGAGAUGCCUAAAAAGCAUUUCAUAGCAAGGGCCGGGCAAGACCGGUGCCAGCCGCCGCGGUAACACCGGCGGCUCGAGUGGUAACCGUUAUUAUUGGGUCUAAAGGGUCUGUAGCCGGCCGGAUAAGUCUCUUGAGAAAUCUGGCAGCUUAACUGUCAGGCUUUCAGGAGAUACUGUCUGGCUCGAGGCCGGGAGAGGUGAGAGGUACUUCAGGGGUAGGGGUGAAAUCUUGUAAUCCUUGAAGGACCACCAGUGGCGAAGGCGUCUCACCAGAACGGACCUGACGGCAAGGGACGAAAGCUAGGGGCACGAACCGGAUUAGAUACCCGGGUAGUCCUAGCCGUAAACGAUACUCGCUAGGUGUCGGCCACGGUGCGACCGUUGUCGGUGCCGUAGGGAAGCCGUGAAGCGAGCCACCUGGGAAGUACGGCCGCAAGGCUGAAACUUAAAGGAAUUGGCGGGGGAGCACCACAACGGGUGGAGCUUGCGGUUUAAUUGGAGUCAACGCCGGA
rnacentral:rRNA from 2 species